GAUGAAGAACGUAGCGAAAUGCGAUAAGUAGUGUGAAUUGCAGAAUUCAGUGAAUCAUCGAAUCUUUGAACGCACAUUGCGCCCUUUGGUAUUCCUUAGGGCAUGUCUGUUCGAGCGUCAUUUAAAAAUUCAAGCUCAGCUUGGUGAUGGGUGUCUGUCCCACCUUUGCGUGCGGACUCGCCUCAAAUGCAGUUGGCAGCUUAUCCUCCGGCCCUAAACGCAGCAGAUUUGCGUCGAAGCGCCGUCCGGACGGGCUCUCCAGUAAGCAAACCCCCCAAGAUUGACCUCGGAUCAGGCAGGGAUACCCGCUGAACUUAAGCAUAUCAAUAAGCGGAGGA
rnacentral:misc_RNA from 1 species